GAGCGCCCAGCAAUGGGAGCGGCGGACGGGUGAAUAACACGUGGGAACAUACCCUUUGGUACGGAACAACUCAGGGAAACUUGAGCUAAUACCGUAUGUGCCGGUAACGGGAAAGAUUUAUCGCCAAAGGAUUGGCCCGCGUCUGAUUAGCUAGUUGGUGAGGUAACGGCUCACCAAGGCUUCGAUCAGUAGCUGGUUUGAGAGAACGAUCAGCCACACUGGGACUGAGACACGGCCCAGACUCCUACGGGAGGCAGCAGUUGGGAAUCUUGGACAAUGGGGGAAACCCUGAUCCAGCCAUGCCGCGUGAGCGAUGAAGGCCUUCGGGUUGUAAAGCUCUUUCGCCAGGGACGAUAAUGACGGUACCUGGAUAAGAAGCCCCGGCUAACUUCGUG
rnacentral:rRNA from 1 species